rnacentral:rRNA from 1 species
GACGAACGCUGGCGGCGUGCCUAAUACAUGCAAGUCGAACGCUGAAGAGAGGAGCUUGCUCUUCUUGGAUGAGUUGCGAACGGGUGAGUAACGCGUAGGUAACCUGCCUUGUAGCGGGGGAUAACUAUUGGAAACGAUAGCUAAUACCGCAUAACAAUGGAUGACACAUGUCAUUUAUUUGAAAGGGGCAAUUGCUCCACUACAAGAUGGACCUGCGUUGUAUUAGCUAGUAGGUGAGGUAACGGCUCACCUAGGCGACGAUACAUAGCCGACCUGAGAGGGUGAUCGGCCACACUGGGACUGAGACACGGCCCAGACUCCUACGGGAGGCAGCAGUAGGGAAUCUUCGGCAAUGGGGGCAACCCUGACCGAGCAACGCCGCGUGAGUGAAGAAGGUUUUCGGAUCGUAGAGCUCUGUUGUAAGUCAAGAACGAGUGUGAGAGUGGAAAGUUCACACUGUGACGGUAGCUUACCAGAAAGGGACGGCUAACUACGUG